rnacentral:miRNA from 1 species
GACUAUAGAAAAGGAGCUUACAAUCUAUCUAGUGGCAGGCACACACUGCCAGACAUCAGAGUGUGAGGCAUCUUAAUAGUGUGCU